AACGAACGCUGGCGGCGGGCCUAACACAUGCAAGUCGAACGCUGUAGCAAUACAGAGUGGCAGACGGGUGAGUAACACGUGGGAAUCUUCCUAUCGGUACGGAAUAGCUCAGGGAAACUUGGGGUAAUACCGCAUACGCCCUUCGGGGGAAAGAUUUAUCGCCGAUAGAUGAGCCCGCGUCUGAUUAGCUAGUUGGUGAGGUAAUGGCUCACCAAGGCGACGAUCAGUAGCUGGUCUGAGAGGAUGACCAGCCACACUGGGACUGAGACACGGCCCCGACUCCUACGGGAGGCAGCAGUGGGGAAUCUUGGACAAUGGGCGCAAGCCUGAUCCAGCCAUGCCGCGUGGGUUCCCAAGGUCUUCGGCUUGUCCCCCUCUUUUUGCGGGGACGAUAAUGACGGUACCCGCAGACUUAGCCCCGGCUAACUUCGUGCCAGCAGCCGCCGUAA
rnacentral:rRNA from 1 species